GAAAAACUGUAGUCUGAUUCAGUGAUUAGAAAACAUGUUGCUGCGGUAACGCCUAAUGUGAUUGCCGCGUUAUUGAGUUAAUUCUUAAUUGGAUUUAUAUUAUCCUGGAGAAAUAAAAUCACGUAUUCCCAUAUGACUGUAGACUGAAACUGUACAGUACCUGAUGUUGUUGCUUGCUAAAGUUGUUAUAAAGCAAGCAUGGCUGGUAUGCUACGUGAAAACCACAAGAAAAUUGUCUAUCUUCAUAACCAUAUGCUGAAUGUUCCUUUUAAUCACAUCUUCCGUUGCAUAAUUGCAUCUUUGUAGCCCGACAGUUGUGGAAUCAUAUGCACAGUGCAGGUUCAUUCAUGCUGUGAAUGAUGAAUGCUUCUGUAUCAUGCAUGUUAGGGUGUACCUCCUACAGCAGAUGGAGGAUGUUUGGGAGGGAAGAUAUUGACGACCCUACCUGACCCUACAAAGCCAGAGUGUCAUGGUUGUUCUUCACUGCUGACCUGCAUAAACACCCAUCAAAAGUUCAUUCAUGCCCGUGAAUGAUAGAUGCUUCUGUAUCAUGCAUAUUUCGGUGUGUGGAAGUAGUUGUGAAAUAUUAAGGACCAUAUACCCUGCACUUUCGCCUUACAUCAGGAAGAUUUAAUUAAGCAGAAACCUUCGUACAGCAGAUCGAGAUUGAAGAGAAGAAAUUGACGAUUCCAGCAAGAGUGUCUGAUUCAUCUUUGUGUCGAUGUUUGGCGAGGAAAUUGACGACCCAACAAGAGCGAUACUGAGAGAGCGUCGUUCUUCAGAAGUGACCUGCAUCAACGCCUGUAAAAAAUUCUGGAAUCAGACUGAACGAGAUUUUGCUUCCGGAAGAAAAACUGCGAUAACAGGGGCAUACAGACUACCACACGUUCAACGCGGGUCAUCUAUUUCUGUUGUUGGUAAUAUGUUUUUGUUAGUUAAUCCGUUGGUUGCCACGCCUUUGUUCUCCCCUAGCUCCUUAGCACGGGCCGCGCUGUUCGGUCUCGUGGUUUACAUGCCGCGGGGUCGGACAGUCGCACCAGCCCAAGAUUCGCCGAAAGGCCCCGUUAGGCAA
rnacentral:lncRNA from 1 species